GACAGGGGGAAGGGACAGGGACACAGGCAUGGGACAAGAAACCACAAUGUGACAGGCACAGGGACACGAGAAUGGGACAGGGACAUAGGGAAGGACACCCCCCCCCCCCCCCCCCCCCCCCCCCCCCCCCCCCCCCCCCCCCCCCCCCCCCCCCCCCCCCCCCCCCCCCCCCCCCCCCAGGGACACAGGGACAGACACAGGGACAUGGGGACACAGGGACAGGGACACAGGGACAGGGAAGGACACAGGGACAGGGACCCAGGGAUGGGAUAAGGACACGGGGAUAGGACAAGAACAUGGGGACAGGGACAGGGGGAAGGGACAGGGACACAGGCAUGGGACAAGAAACCACAAUGUGACAGGCACACAGGGACACGAGAAUGGGACAGGGACAUAGGGAAGGACAGAGGGACAGGGCCACGGGGACAUGGGGACACAGGGAUGGGACACGGGGAUGGGACCCAGGGACAGGCACACAGGGAUGGGACAGGGACAUAGGGAAGGACACACGGACAGUCACAUGAGGACAGGGACCCAGGGAUGGGACAGGGACACGGGGACAGGGACACGGGGAAGGAACACAGGGAUGGGACAUGGGACAGGGACAUGGGACAGGGACACGGGGAUGGGACAGGGACAUGGGACAGGAACAGGGACACGGGACAAGGACACAGGGAUGGACAGGGACAUGGAACAGGGACAGGGACACGAGACAGGGUAACGGGACAGGGACUCAGGGAUGGGAUAGGGGACAGGGACACGGGACAGGACCGUCUACUGCAUGCUCUUCGGGACCUACAUGCGCCUCAAGGACGACAACGGGCUCUGGAAGCCUGAGGGAACCUUCAGGAGGCUUGCCAACGCUGAGCUGUGGAAGGAGUUCUUUGAGAGCUUGCUGAACAUCCCCAGCUGCCAGCAGCUGCCUUCCCUGGGAGCCCUGCGCCAGAAGCUCAGGGAUCUGUUCUGCAGGUCCUACACGAAGGAAAUCAGGUUCCUGCGGAACAGACUCGUCGUGCUGCUCAUCGAGCACAAACGCUCGCGGAAAUAGAGCUGAGUUUGCACACUUAGGGACAGGGGACAGGGACUCAGGGAUGGGAUCCCCCCCCCCCCCCCCCCCCCCCCCCCCCCC
rnacentral:lncRNA from 1 species